GGAAUACACCGGUAUGAUUGUGCAUCAAAUGGUUGCUGAAAACGACGGUGAUUAUAUGAACUAGACUAAUGUCAAUCUGUUAUAAGUCAAUCAGUCAUACAAUACCGUCAAACACGCGGCCUUUUCAGGUUCCGGACACAACUUGGUCAGUGUUGAAGGCAUUUUUGAUUAAUUCACGCAUGUAUAGGGUCGUCAUCGAUUUUUUGCUGUGUGACUCGAGCAGUGCCUCCGAAUCGAAGAAGUUGAUGAGCUUAUAUAUAUGCCAACAUCAGCUAGAAAUUUGGAAGACAGGGAAGAAGCAGGCGGUCACGACGCUUCUAGUGUGUUGUGUUGUGUUGGUCUAGCAGAAGUUACUAUGCAAUGAGAAUGGAGAGAGUUGAUUGAGCAGGAGUGUCGAGUUGGGAGAUAGAAUGACUGCGUUAGUGCAGUACAAAAAUCUUGGGAAAUCAGGACUAAGAGUGUCGAAUAUAGGAUUUGGAACAUGGGUAACAUUUGGCAGCCAGAUAUCAGACGAGGUUGCAGAAGAAUUGUUGACAGUGGCGUAUGAAAGCGGAAUCAAUUUCUUUGAUACGGCGGAGGUUUAUGCAGCUGGCAAAGCUGAAGUUACCCUGGGAAAAAUCCUAAAAAAGAAAACUUGGAGACGCUCGAGUUAUAUUAUAUCCUCAAAGCUGUAUUGGGGUGGCAAGGCUGAGACAGAAAAGGGGCUAUCGAGAAAACACAUAGUAGAAGGUAUACGAGGCUCGUUAGAAAGACUACAGUUGGAAUAUGUUGAUGUUGUUUUUGCAAAUAAAACUGAUUCGCACACACCAAUGGAGGAGAUAGUCCGUGCCUUUACUCAUAUUAUCAAUCAGGGAUGGGCGCUUUACUGGGGAACCUCACGCUGGAGUCCAAUGGAAAUCAUGGAAGCAUAUUCUGUUGCUCGCCAGUUUAAUUUAAUUCCACCUAUAGCAGAACAAGCUGAAUACCAUUUAUUCCAACGAGAUAAAGUUGAAUUACAGAUGCCAGAAUUAUUCCAGAAAAUAGGUAAAUGUAUAGGUACAAUUACCUGGUCACCUUUAGCUUGUGGUAUAUUAUCAGGUAAAUAUGAAGAUGGAGUUCCAAUAUAUUCCAGGGCAGCUUUAAAGGGAUAUGGCUGGCUAAAAGAUAAGAUUUUAUGUGAAGAUGGCCGACGACAACAAACGAAACUGCGUGAAGUAGCUGUGAUAGCAGAUAAAUUAGGAUGUUCUAUAGCACAAUUAGCGAUAGCCUGGUGUUUACGAAAUGAAGCAGUACAUUGUGUAUUGAUUGGGGCUUCCACAGUGGAACAGCUGUAUGAAAAUAUUCAGGCAUUACAGUUUGUUUCAAGACUAACUACCGAUAUCCAAGAUACGUUGGACUCUGUGUUAGACACAAAACCUCCACCUAAAACACCUCAGGGAUCCUUUCGACGAUCAUUGUCAUGUACUUGCCCAAGUUGAAUAAACCUAUAAUAUCGGAAAUGGAGAAAAUUUUGGGAAAUAAACCAAGAAAAUCUAGUCAAAGCAGCAGCAGGUCGAGGCAAGGAAAACAUUCGUUAUGAUAUCUGGGAGAUCACCAUGCAGACCUUUUACUGUUAUUUAAUUUUAUAACGUAACAUGUUAAUCCUGAUACAUUUUGUAAUUUAAUAACUCCAAUAUUCAUUAAAUUGUCAACGUCUAUUUUAUCAUAGGUAAUAUACAACUGCCAAGUAUAUUUUUUAAAAUUUCCCCCCAAAGAGAGAGGAAGAAAAUGAUGUAAUAGGGGGUCUAUAAUUCAAAUUUUAAAAUUCAAAUUUUAAUAGCUGUUCUUGAAGAACUAAAGGUUAAAAUUUAAAUUUUAAUAAAUGAUCAUGAAGAAGGAAUGAAAAGUUCUAAAAUGCAAAUUUUAAUCAUUGAUCCUAAAGAACUAAAGCUUUAAAGUUCAAAUUUUAAUAGUGGCUCCUCAUUAACUAAAUACAUUAAACCAAAUUGGUGUGAGCGAAAAACGAAAACAGGCUUUAUUUAUUUGUUUAUCAGGGUUAACAAUUUAUGUUUAUAAACUGUUAACUUGUAUCUAUGGCAACUUUACUUGAUAUUAUUGUAUAUAAUUUGAUUAAAAAAUAUGUAAAUUUUGAACAAAUCUAAAUUAUUAUACUUACCAGUGAAAAAGUACUUUGUAAUUACAUUUCAUUUGAUUGAUUAUUAAUAACCAGUGAAAAAUACUUUGUAAUUACAUUUCAUUUGAUUGAUUAUUGGCAACCACUUCAAAAUACAUUGCAAUUACAUUUCAUUUGAAAAAUACAUUGUAAUUACAUUUCAUUUGAUUGAUUAUUGAUAACCACUUAAAAAUACAUUGUAAUUACAUUUCAUUUGAUUGAUUAUUGAUAACCACUUCAAAAUACAUUGCAAUUACAUUUCAUUUGAUUGAUUAGUAAUAACCAGUGAAAAUAUGUUGUAAUUACAUUGCAUUUGAUUGAUUAUUGAUAACCACUUAAAAGUACAUUGUAAUUACAUUUUGUUUGAUUGAUUAUUUAUUUAUUACAGUGAAAACUGCAUUGUUUUGACAUUUCAUUUGAUGGACUAUUAAUAACCACUGAAGAUACAUUGUAAUUACAUUUCAUUUGAUUGCAAAGACUUUGUUGAUUGCAGAGGAGAAAAAAGUCCUUCAGGGAAGAAGAAUAUGUGUUACUUCCCUUAACAGAGCAUUUUGAAUGGAUUCUGAUUUUGAUAUAUUUUAUUUAACUGCACAGUAUUUCAGAGCAACAGAAUGUCCAAUUGGGCAUAUUCCCGGUCUGAUGUUUGCCAGCUUGCGAGGACAUCUCCAACCCAUACGGUCAAAAUAGAAUCCAAAUGUAGAUUUUCAGUCCACAAAAUGUUAAAAUCAAGUAUUACUUUCUAUCAAUUUCACGAUUUCACUUUUCCACGCUUGUUUGAAUAGUUUUCUGUCUACGAACUUCAAGAUCAAGAGGGUAACUUUUUUUAAAAUUGUCUCUAUUGCAAUCCAAAAAAACACUUUUUGAAGAUUUUUUUUAUUAUUUAAUUUAAAUACAGAAAAUGAUUAAAGGCUCCAAUUAUGAUUUUUUUUUUAGCAAAAAUGAAAAUGUGGUAGAAAGGUUGUUACCAUUGCUUAAAGUUAUACUCCCUUGGAGCUCAGGGCUGAAGUUUCACUAAUUAUUUAAACAGCAUUAUAGUAUGAAUUUUUCCUCUUUAGGUGAUAUAAACAUCUUAAACAUACAUUAUACAAGAGGACAAUCUGCCUAUUGCAGGUUUUCUUUAGGCCUUAAAUGUUACAUAAAUUAUUAAUUAGAUAUUUAUUAACAUGACCAGACCCAUAAUCAACUCUCAAUGCCAUAGGAUGGGUCCGAUUUAAGUAGAUUAUAACGAUUUGGACAUAUAAUGAUUUAAUUUAAAAAUAGUGAAGCAAGGCUUCCUCGAACAAUCAGUACAAUGGUUACAAUCAGUAGAAAUUGGCAGCCAUCUUGGGUUUUGGCAGCCAUUUUGAUUUUUUUUAUCUGACUGCUUAACACUCGAAACAGAAUUGUUCUAUAGACCCUUACGUUCAAAUUUGUACUGAAAACGAAACUUUUGCAUAAAUUUGAAAUGACUGAGUGUCUUCGAACUCCACUAUUAUGUAUCUUUAAUAAAAGUUAUAAUAUAUUCCAUAGAAAGUUGCAUUUAUAUCACAACAUUCAUUCCUUUUAAAAUAUACAAUAUUUAUCUACUGUACAUAUUCAAUCAGAGCUAUUGGAUUUUAAAUAUAUUUUUUGUUGUUGAUAACUGUCCACAGCACAAGGUAUAAUAUUGGCUUGUAUAAAUAUACUCUUCAAAAAAAGUAGGGGAUAUUCAGAAACAUACAAAACUGCGGAAAUGCACUGAUGUUUUUAUUAGAGGUAACCAGUGUUGUUGAUAACAGGCCAAUUGCCUACACAUGAACAUAAACAGUUCAUAUGGGCGGCUUUUUUGACGGCCCCAUUUCACUCGCAAAGAGAUACACUGUCAAAAGUGAAAAUGGACGGUUUUGAUUUUUGUCUUAAUAAUGAGUAAUUGCUCCACCAAUCCUCAGACAUUCAGCAAUUCGUCGUGGCAUGCUCCUAAUCAACCGUCCAAUCACGAUUUGGAGCAAUCUGGCCCACUCCUCUUGCAGUGCCACGGCCAAUUCUCCCAAUCAAAUUAAACGUAACACACUAAAGCAAAGAUACGCCAAACAGUAAAUCUUAUGCAAGAACCGAUAGGCAAGCAAACAUGGAUAGAUAAACCAGCACGCGUCAGUUUUCAUCUACCCUUCCUUGAAGUGUCAAAUUUGACGAUGAACCCCUCCCAUGUGUAUGGCCAGGCGAUACGUUUCAAGUCAGUAGCUUGAAGCGUAUAUAUGGUAUUAGUGUCAGUGGCCUGUGGCACGAAGUAACAGUAUAUUGUCGCAUACAUAAUAUAUUAUGUCAACGCUUGGGCGAUAUAAUAUAUUAUGUCAACGCUUGGAACUAGGAUGGAGGUGACUAGGCAUGAACUUGCAACGAUAGAUUUAAUUGGCGCUUUGAUAACCAAUGAAUGCUUUGGAGACAUAUUUUGGCGGUAUUUUCCAUCAUGGAAUCGGUAAGUUUCGAUUGUUUUUUUCUUUUCUGUUUUUUCUCUCUUUUCUGUGUCCUAACCCUAACCCUAACCCUAACCCUAAUCCGAAAGAAAAGUGCCCUUUUUUGAAAUUCUGACAUCACAGGUGCCCUUUUUCUGAUAAGGAUGCCCUCUUUUAUUUACAGGGACACUUUCUAUUGUUAAGGGGGUGGACCGGUCCCCAUGGUCCAACCCCUGGAUCCGCUCUGAUGACGCGUACAUUCCACUGAGUCUACAGGUCUAAUAUGCUAACACGCUUGGAGCGUCAACACAAUAUAUUAUGUCGCCCAAGCGUUGACAUAAUAUAUUAUGUAUGCGACAAUAUACUGUUACUUCGUGCCACAAGCCACUGACACUAAUACCAUAUAUACGCUUCAAGCUACUGACUUGAAACGUGCAGGGUGGUAUGGCACUAUUGCGUGUCGCAUGUGCAACUCGGUGGUUCUGUUGGGGCGAUAAGUUCUUCAUCUGUGAACAUACUCUUAAGCAUGUCAAGUGUCCAUGACUAUUUAUCAUAUCGCAACCUGCAUAGGUAUUUGCAUUUCAAUAUCCCCUACUUUUUUUGAAGAGUAUACGUGUAUAUCAAGGAACUUUGGGGUGAAUUUCGGGCGUUGAAGUUCAGAUUUACAGAAAUGUUCAUAGAUUGUAAAAUAAUGUACAUGUUAAAGCCAGACUAAACUUAGGUUGUCUGUCUACAGUUAACUCUGCUUGAGAACAUUCGUCUAAAAAACCUUUUUCUGCUGAACAUUAUAUGGGAGGGGAGGGGGGGUAUGGAA